rnacentral:rRNA from 1 species
GACGAACCGUGCGAACGUUAUUCGGAAUCACUGGGCUUAAAGCGCGUGUAGGCGGGACGCACGUCGGUCGCUGAAAGCCCCCGGCUCAACCUGGGAACGGCGCGCGAGACGGGGGGGGCUGGAGUUCGGGAGAGGAGCGUGGAAUUCCUGGUGUAGCGGUGAAAUGCGCAGAUAUCAGGAGGAACACCCGUGGCGAAAGCGGCUCUCUGGGACGGUACUGACGCUGAGACGCGAAAGCGUGGGAAGCAAACAGG